rnacentral:rRNA from 1 species
UCAUCGGGAAAUCCACCCGCCCAACGGGUGGCCGUCCGGUGGAAACUGCACGGCUUGGGACCGGAAGGCGCGACGGGUACGUCCGGGGUAGGAGUGAAAUCCCGUAAUCCUGGACGGACCGCCGAUGGCGAAAGCACGUCGCGAGAACGGAUCCGACAGUGAGGGACGAAAGCCAGGAUCUCGAACCGGAUUAGAUACCC